rnacentral:rRNA from 1 species
GAUGAACGCUGGCGGCGUGCCUAAUACAUGCAAGUCGAGCGAACAGAUGAGGAGCUUGCUCCUCUGACGUUAGCGGCGGACGGGUGAGUAACACGUGGAUAACCUACCUAUAAGACUGGGAUAACUUCGGGAAACCGGAGCUAAUACCGGAUAAUAUAUUGAACCGCAUGGUUCAAUAGUGAAAGACGGUUUUGCUGUCACUUAUAGAUGGAUCCGCGCCGCAUUAGCUAGUUGGUAAGGUAACGGCUUACCAAGGCGACGAUGCGUAGCCGACCUGAGAGGGUGAUCGGCCACACUGGAACUGAGACACGGUCCAGACUCCUACGGGAGGCAGCAGUGGGGAAUCUUGGGCAAUGGGCGAAAGCCUGACGGAGCAACGCCGCGUGAGUGAUGAAGGUCUUCGGAUCGUAAAACUCUGUUAUUGGGGAAGAACAAAUGUGUAAGUAACUAAGCACGUCUUGACGGUACCUAAUCAGAAAGCCACGGCUAACUACGUG